GUGAUCUUACAGGUUAACUACACAUGCAACUCGAAGCUGGCAGCGACAACAUUGUAACCUUCGGGGGGUUUGUUGGGCGGCGAGCGGCAGCACGCGCGAUGAGUAAUGCCUGGGAAAUUGCCUCUGCAUGUGGGGGAUAACGUAUUGAGAAACGAUGGCUAAUACCGCAUGUUAGCUUCGGCUCAAAGAGGGGGACCUUCGGGCCUCUCGCGUCAGGAUAUGCCCAGGUGGGAUUAGCUAGUUGGUGAGGUAAGGGCUCACCAAGGCGACGAUCCCUAGCUGGUCUGAGAGGAUGAUCAGCCACACUGGAACUGAGACACGGUCCAGACUCCUACGGGAGGCAGCAGUGGGGAAUAUUGCACAAUGGGCGCAAGCCUGAUGCAGCCAUGCCGCGUGUAUGAAGAAGGCCUUCGGGUUGUAAAGUACUUUCAGCAGUGAGGAAGGAGGUGUCGUUAAUAGCGGUAUCUUUUGACGUUAGCUGCAGAAGAAGCACCGGCUAACUCCGUGCCAGCAGCCGCGGUAAUACGGAGGGUGCGAGCGUUAAUCGGAAUUACUGGGCGUAAAGCGCAUGCAGGUGGUUUGUUAAGUCAGAUGUGAAAGCCCGGGGCUCAACCUCGGAAUUGCAUUUGAAACUGGCAGGCUAGAGUACUGUAGAGGGGGGUAGAAUUUCAGGUGUAGCGGUGAAAUGCGUAGAGAUCUGAAGGAAUACCGGUGGCGAAGGCGGCCCCCUGGGACAGAUACUGACACUCAGAUGCGAAAGCGUGGGGGAGCAUACAUGAUUAGAUACCCU
rnacentral:rRNA from 1 species